CGAGCACAUAGUUGCCCCAAACAAAAUCAGGGUUCGCUUAGCUGGGAAGCAGGUGCUAAGGCUGUCGGGGAGGCUGCCAACUGGCCUGUCACAGAGAAAAAUCAGAGCCCAGGGAGGGGUUUUGACAGCAGCACAGAGAGAGAUGAUGUGGUUUGAACAUGGGGGCCAUGAGCAGUGCCUCUUUCUCUUAGAGAGAGUGCGUCCAGUGUAAAUGUGAAGGAGAGAUAGAAACACAGGCUCUUCAUUUUUGGUCUGAGUGACUGAGUCGAGGGGGAUGCCCUUUGCCGAGAUGGGGAAGACAGAGGGAAGAGCUUGUUAGUCACAGGGUGGAAAUUAAGAAUUGCCUACUGGGGACAGAAGUGGAGAUGCUAUGCAGGGGUGGAGUUUCUCGAGGGAUGCCAAGACGAGAGGCCACUGCUGCAGCCCUGCGCCUGGAGGCUGGGCUCGCCACAUCUGCUCUGCCCUUCCCUCCGUGCUGCGUGACGCUGGAGCUGGCCUUUGAAAGCCACAUCAGCCUGUUCCUUGACCUGUGGUUUCUGGUUAUGCUAGCCCAACAGGAGCACCAAAGGCCCUUGAGGGAAGGAAAGAGCAAGGCCAAGGUGUCUACUAUUCCCCUGACUUCCUCCUGCCAGGUCACCGAGGGUUGGCUGUGCACCUCAAUUGAAGCUCCGGCCCUGUCAGGCACCCACCACUCUCCUUUCUCUCUCUCCAGUUCCAGUUCCUGCGUCCUCCCCUUGUUCCUGCCAGCGGGGGAUGGCAUCACGCAGGCAUGGUGAAUCCUGGCCCUUGGGACUUCCCUGCGCCUUGCACAGAUCGCACAGAUUGUGGUAGAUGGUCCCUUGCAAGUGUCAUCCUGCCUGAUGCAUCACCACCGAGGAAGCGACCGAAGUCAGAGACAGAGGAUGCUGCCACUCCCCAAGAAUGAAGCCGGUAGGGGAUAUUAUUGGACUUCGUAUGUGAUGGCAAUGACUCAACAGAAAGAAAAAUUGCUGAUGCAAGAAAAAGAGUGUCUUGCCUCGUCCAGGCAAGAGGGCAUCAGACUUGGGACAGCUCACUCGAGGCAGGGAAAGAAAAGCGGGUCGCACGAUUGCAGGCACAGGCACUAGGGCUCUGUGGAAGACACAGAGGAUCCCAGCAUCCAAGCACGGUGCAGCCCCUCCCGGACUUCCGCAUCUCAGAGGUCAUCACUGUCCAGAAUUUUGUGUUCACCGUUCCCUUUCUCUCUGUACAUCUACGUGCAAUUUAUUGUGCAGUUGUACAUGCUUUUGAAAUUCAUUUCUUUUUAAAAAAAAU
rnacentral:lncRNA from 1 species